GACGUAGGUGGCGAACGUUAUCCGGAAUUAUUGGGCGUAAAGGGUGCGUAGAUGGCCUGAUAAGUUAGCAGUGGGAAAUCGAGGCUCAACCUCGUGGAAGCUGGUAAUACUGUCAGGCUCGAGUGCAGGAGAGGUUAACGGAACUCCAUGUGGAGCGGUAAAAUGUGUAGAUAUAUGGAAGAACACCAAUAACGGCGAAGGCAGUUAACUAUUCUGUUACUGACAUUGAGGCACGAAAGCGUUGGGGAGCAAAACGG
rnacentral:rRNA from 1 species